UACGUAGGGAGCAAGCGUUGUCCGGAAUCAUUGGGCGUAAAGCGCGCGUAGGCGGCCCCGUAAGUCCGCUGUGAAAGUCAAAGGCUCAACCUUUGAAAGCCGGUGGAUACUGUGGGGCUAGAGUCCGGAAGAGGCGAGUGGAAUUCCUGGUGUAGCGGUGGAAUGCGCAGAUAUCAGGAGGAACACCGGUGGCGAAGGCGGAUCUCUGGGCCUUACCUGACGCUCGAGGCACGAAAGCUAGGGGAGCGAACAGG
rnacentral:rRNA from 1 species